GGAUUUUUCAUGGAUGUUUUUUUAUUAUAAGAUGGUGUGGGAUUCGUUCUCGUGUUUUCCUCUGUUAUUUGAUAUUUUGAUUUUGUUUGGUACUUUUUUUUCUUCUCUUUUUAAUUCUUGGAUGACAUUGGUUGAAGUUUUCUAUAUUCCAUUGCUUUGAGGAAAUUUAUGCAACCUCGUUGUAGCUAAAUGUUUCAAGGUCAUAUGUUCCCUGUCUAUACAAUUUUAACCCAUUCUGAUGAAAGGUAACUUAUUCUGCUUCUAUGAUGGAAGUUUAGUUGCUUUCUGAUGACAUUACCACUCUUGUCUCACUGGAUGAAUACUUUCUUGCAAAGUAUUCUUGAAUUUGUUAUUCCUUAAGAAGAUUUGUGUGUUACGGUGGGCCUAAUAUGCUGUUGUAUGUUAUGUUAAUUUAGGGUUUUUGGUUUUGUAGUUUUAAUUGAGGUUUGUGCAUUUGUUGAUUCUUUGGGUUAUGCUCUUAGUUUUAACGCUUACUUUUUCAUGGGUUAAUUGGUUUAAGUUUAUCUUGUCCAAGUUAUGCUACUGAUUCUCUGUUCCACCCUAAAGAAAACCACCUUAUUCAUGAAAUUCCUACAACUGUUGCGGCUGUUAAAAACCCUUCUUCUAAAAUUAUAUAUGAUGAACACAACCAUGAGCGAUUUGCUCCUGGUGAUGGUUUUGUCCAUGCCAUGGUUCCCAUUACGAUAUUUCUGGCAGAAUUAGGAAGGGACUGACACUAUACAAUCUAGAGGUGAUUUCUCCUAAAAGUAUAAGCAGUGUUGUUCUUGAUGCAUCAGAGGCAUGCAAGCUACUGAGUGUGGUUGCAAUUGCUUUGUCAAAUUGUUCAAGAUGUUGCAAUUUGGCUGCAAAGAAGGGAUGAAACACUUGUUCUGUAAAAGGAUGGGAAGGAUUUAACUAGCUUCAACUACUUUCCAAAAUGUCACAGGUUUUUCAGAGCCCAAAUCAGAUGGGUCUUUUUGAAGAGAAUCAUAUAUCACUGUACUUUCCCUAUAAUAAUGGAAAUGAGGCAAUGUUAUUAGCUUUGUCUUUGGAGAAGUUGGUGAUUGAGAAACUUCGAAAUGUGCAUACUGUAAUGCCUUUUGAGCUAUUUUCUUAUUUAGAAGUAGAAUUUAAAUGUUUUUCCUAUGUACUGAAGUGUAAGAAGUUGUAGUGUUGUAGUUUGAUUUGAUG